rnacentral:rRNA from 1 species
CCUACGGGCAGCAGCAGUGGGGAAUAUUGCACAAUGGGGGAAACCCUGAUGCAGCGACGCCGCGUGAGCGAUGAAGUAUUUCGGUAUGUAAAGCUUUAUCAGCAGGGAAGUAAAUGACGGUACCUGACUAAGAAGCCCCGGCUAAUUACGUGCCAGCAGCCGCGGUAAGACGGAGGGGGCAAGCGUGAUCCGGAUUUACCGGGUGUAAAGGGAGCGUAGACGGCGGUGCAAGCCAGAUGGGAAAGCGCGGGGUUCAACCCCGGGAUUGCAUUUGGAACUGGGCUGCUAGAGUGUCGGAGAGGCAGGCGGAAUUCGUAGUGUAGCGGUGAAAUGCGUAGAUAUUAGGAGGAACACCAGUGGCGAAGGCGGCCUGCUGGACGAUGACUGACGUUGAGGCUCGAAAGCGUGGGGAGCAAACAGGAUUAGAUACCCCUGUAGUC